rnacentral:rRNA from 1 species
GACGAACGCUGGCGGCGUGCUUAACACAUGCAAGUCGAACGGAAAGGCUCCGUCGGUGUGGUGUGCUCGCGUGGCACACGUGUGUAAAACACGGGAGAACUCCGCUCAGCACUGUGGUAAAACUGCAAAAAAGGGGGGAUUAUACGGGACGGCAUCUCCGGCCGCCUGCGGGGGGUGGAAGAGUUUCGGCGGUUGGGGAUGGACUCGCGGCUUAUCAGCUUGUUGGGGGGGUAGUGGCUUACCAAGGCUUUGACGGGUAGCCGGCCUGAGAGGGUGACCGGCCACAUUGGGACUGAGAUACGGCCCAGACUCCUACGGGAGGCAGCAGUGGGGAAUAUUGCACAAUGGGCGGAAGCCUGAUGCAGCGACGCCGCGUGCGGGAUGAAGGCCUUCGGGUUGUAAACCGCUUUCGCCUGGGACGAAGCGAGAGUGACGGUAAUGGGUAAAGAAGCACCGGCUAACUACGUG